rnacentral:lncRNA from 1 species
CCCCAUGUCCUUCUCCAUCAAAGGAGAUUCCCAGUUGUGACUGCACCUCCUCCAUGCGUCAGCCCCUACCACAUGGUUCCUUUUUCGGUGAGUCUCAGUUUCUGUCAGAUGAACUGGCUUCUAGGUGCUCUAAGGCCACCUUCACCCCACAGCUUGAAGGAUACUGGUAGCUUCCUGUUAGAUUUAACAUCUAGGUGACUUCACUACCCUUUAUCCCAAGGAUAUCCACCUGGUAAAAUGUAGUUGCCACGCACAAUCUUUAGUUACUCUGAUGUCUCCCUGUUGCUGCUCUUUCCUGAUCAGUGUGCACUGAGUUUGUUUCCAUGAGGAACUGCCGUAGCUCUCUGCAGUUACCUUUUAAACGGUCUCCUAGAAUUGGCUUUGGGUGGGGGAACACGGCAUCACGGCUCUUCUGGUUAAUGAUUCCUUCCCUCUUUCCUUUCAGAAGGCGUUUCUUCUCUCCCCUGUGGUGCCCCACAUUGAAACAUGCCCCAUGUCUCUCCCUGGUUAUGGAUUUCAGGCAUGAACCCAGUCGUAGCCAAUCAGAGUCCAUUUUCCAGGAAUUGUUACAGAUGCUGAGAAGAGGGGAAUCUCCUUUUGAGCUGUGGCCAUGAGGAACUAUUCCACUCUAUCUUGCUGGGGGAAGCUUUUGUGGCAGGAACCUAUUUGAGAGUAGGGGCUGACAUCAAAGGACAGAGACCUGAGAACACUUUUUUAAGUUCCUGCGUAAAUGUGGGAAGACUGCACUGUUACUGCAAAGUACAAGUCAACUCCUAAAACUCUCUAAUCAUAACAGCCUUCCUCUUCCAGCGUGCCAGAAGGGAAGUUUGAGUAGAAUGGAAUGAGAGGCAGCUAUGGAAGAUAAAGUCAAUUUGGAAUCAUGGACCCAGCAAAGGAGGAUAAAAAUGGGUGUCUGAGUGGUUGCUGAGGGGGAAGCAACUUUGAAAACACAACACCUGGCAGACAUUGACUUAUCUCCACACAUUCAUCUCUGUUUUCUGGCCCUUUCUGCCACUUAUGAUGCCUGCAACAUCCCUUCUAUUUAUUGCAUCGUGGUAAAUCUUCCAUAACUCUUUGAAGUCAAAGCCCAUUACUUUUACUACUACCCAGUGCCGACAUCAGUGACUAAGCUCCCUGCAUGCUUUGAGAUUUUUUUUUUGAACCAGAUGUCAUCAAAUAGGGAGAAGGAGUUUGUCUAAAAUUAAACUGUUUAUUCAUAAAACAGUAACAUUUUUUGUGGAAGGAAAUAAAACAGAUUUUAAAUGCCUAUGAGUAAAUUGUUGAAAAUAACAUCUAAGCAAUCAUCCAUGUUUUCCUUAGUGCUGAAUGAACUGUUUUAGUGCAUGUUGUCUUUAACGCUAAGGAUAUAUGGGCUUAUGCCAUUGGAUAACUUACUCCAUGCCAUGAACGGAUGGGUUUAUGACAUGAGCUCAGUAUCAGCUGGCACUUAAGAUCUGUAAUUUGUUUUACAAGGUUAUAUAAACUUGACUUGGGCUAGAAACAUUUUCUUUCAGCUACUCUCAGCUUCUGGCGCUGGGUUGGCCACUUUCUCAGGCUCUGCUUUGAUUGUCUGCAUGAAUCCCUCAUGAAUUGUCAUCUCCAUCUUAACCUUUGUCAGAACACUUAACAUUUGUGCCACCAAGUAAAGUUCUGUUUGAAUCAGCUAGGACUUUUAAAAGGAACCAUGGUUGUUGAUAUGCUUCGAUUUGCUCAUAAUCAUAUAAGAUAAAUAUAUUAUUACUCAACUAUAAGUUAAAUAUGUUAUUACUUAUAGACAGUUAUAAUUCAUUUUUCUUAAUUGUAAGCAGCAUGACUCUAAAUUAUUAUUUAGAAUUCAGCCACCUCUGACUUCCUUAACACAUCAGAAACAAGCAGGUUGAAUAUUAAAGGGUAAUUCUUAGCCACAUCAGAAACAAGCAGGUUGAAUAUUAAAGGGUAAUUCUUAGCCAGAGUGGUGGUUGUUUGAUCUAGUGCUGUUUAUUUCCCUAUACGUAUGUUUUUAUAUGUCAUAUUUUAUAAUAAUACUAGGUUUGAUAAUAACAAUUUCAUGUAUGUAUGUUUUUAUACAGACCAAUAUCCCUUUUCCUUUUUUUUUUCUUCUUUUUUCAGCCACACCUGUGGCAUAUAGACGUUCCCAGGCUAGGGGCUGAUUUGGAGCUGCAGCUGCCAGCCACAGCCACAGCAACGCCAGAUCUGAGUUGCAUCCGCUGCCUAUGCCACAGCUUGCAGCCACACUGGAUCCUUAACCCACUGAGAAAAGCCUUAGACCAAACCCGCAUCCUCACAAACACUAUGUCAGGUUCUUAACCCACUGAGCCCACAACGAGAACUCCUGAACUUCCUUCUUUUUCUCAAGAUUUUCUCCCUCUUAUUUAGGGAAAGAUAGGAAAGACAAGCCCUUAUUUCCCAUUUGGCUCUCUAAGGGAGGAGGACUUUGACAUAGAAUAUUUUUGCCUUGUAAAGAGUCAUUUUAAAAUAUCUGUCACCUUGGUUAUUUGGAAGCGUCUUACUACUGGCUCUGGCCUCUUCUCUGGAGUAGUCCCAGUGCCUGGACAAUGCCUGGCUCUGGAUAAGUGCCUAAACCUUCUCUGGCAAAGUACAGAAUUUAGAGAAGGUUAGGCACUUAUGCGAAAAUAUCAUUGAAUCGAUGGAUUCCUCAAACAUUUUUACUCGGGCAAGAUGCGCCACCUAGGAUUGCUUUUGGCUUUCCCUGUGACGCUGGAGAAGAGCUCUCUCACACACAUUUUUCUCAUCAUCGUGUCUUCUUUACUAAGGUUGUCCUGAGGAUCAAACAUAAUUAGCUAAAGUAUCCAGCACAUGAUUGCCAUCUAAUUAGUUCUCCAUGGCUACCAUAUUGGAAAUCUUUUGUAGCACUGCAGAAAUAUCGGAAAACUCAUCUUAGAAGCUAAAAUGUUCCUGCUGCAUUUUUUUUUUCUAUCAGAGAUCUUUAAGUACUGUCCCAUAGUUGUAAUUGCACUACAGAAUUCAGUUGUAUGAGAAGGGCUGGAGGCAAAAUAACUCCUAAGCCCGAUCAUUUCUUUAAAAAAUGGUUAUACAGUUUAGCACCAGAGAAAAUGGCAGGAAGAAUUCAUUUCUGUGUUGGCUAUCAUGGGAUUCAUUGUGCUUGCAUAAGAACAUAUCCAGGGGCAGCCAGAUCACAUCUUUUCCCACGUUUCAUAUUAGGUCACAACAAACCUUCCACAUCCAGGAGGUAUUAUAACAACAUGUCAAGACAGUUUUAGAUUUAAUGGCACAAUGCACAUUCUAGUGAGAGGGAGAUAAACUUCGAGCCAGGCAGAAAUGAAUAUCCUUUCCAGUUGAAAAGAAACAGGAGGCACCAAAGCUUCAACUGUCGUUCAGAACAAAGUCAAACAGUACCUGGAUGUUUGGGGAUUCCUUUGGCACGCGUUUCUAACGAAGUGGAGGAAACUAAUGCCAGACACAUGUUCUAAUUUUGCCAGCUAGAGGGAGAAUUUAGCAUAGUUUUAGGUGUGUGCUUUUUAAAAUACAGCCCCACCCUACCAGCUUACUCUUGGGAACUUCAAGAUUCAGUAGAAGUUUCUAGAUUAGCUUCUCAAGAGAAAAAAAAAAUUAAACAAAAAAAAAGAGAGUGAAAAGGUAAAUAUGUCUGUCCAGCAACCUUCACUGUUGAGUUAUGUACUUUUUAUGAGGGCAUGAAAUAUUUAGAUAGUCUGUCUUUUGCAAAAGUCAUUUUGUGUUUGGCUAUUACUUCUUCAUGUUCCACCCUUUGCAAGCAAUCAUUUCUCUAACCUCUAUUCCCUCUGGUUAUGCUUAAAUUUAGAAUCAAAUUCUAUUUUCCUUCAUUCCUAGCUUUUUCCUUUCCAUGCUUUCAACAAACACUUCUUGAGCACUCACAGUUAGGUAGGUACUCCACUGAAAGCUAUUCUUCAUGAUAACCGUAGGAGGUGGAUACUAUUAUUAGGUUUCCUAUUAUAUAAGCAACAGAUGAUAGAAGUUAAGACUUGAGGAGAAAAAGAGGGUUCCUGAAAGAUUCAAGCCCACACAAGCAGAAAGUGAUAGAGCUGGGCUCCGUCCUCACAUUGACUUCACAUUCUGUGUUGUUAAACGCGGAGAUGGGCUACAUCUUAGUUAUGGGCAGAGAGCAUCACAAUCGCAAGAUAAAUGUUUCUGCAUGUAUGUAAAAAGGGCAAGCAUUUUCAUAAGUCUUAGAAGGUUGCUCUAUAUGUUUUGCCUAACAUGCAUUUUCACAGCAAGUCAAAGGAUAGUCGAAAAUUUAAAUAUAAAAGGUUGGCGGUACAUGGAAAGAUGCUCCACAUUACAAGUCGUUGGGGAAAUGCUAAUAAAGUCAGAAUGAGAUACUACCUCACACCUGUUAGAAUGGCCAUCCUCAAAAAGACUAGAGAUAACAGAUGCUGGUGAGGAUGUGGAGAAAAGGGACCACUUAGCCCUAUUGCUGGGAUUGUAAAUUGUAACAACCACUGUGGAAAACAGCAUCGGAGUUCCCGUCGUGGCGCAGUGGUUAAUGAAUCCGACUAGGAACCAUGAGGUUGCGGGUUCGGUCCCUGCCCUUGCUCAGUGGGUUAAGGAUCUGGUGUUGCCGUGAGCUGUGGUGUAGGUUGUAGACGUGGCUCAGGCGCCGUGUGGCUGUGGCUGUGGCCGGCAGCUACAGUUCCGAUUUGACCCCUCGCCUGGGAACCUCCAUAUGCUGUAAGAGUGGCCCAAGAAAAUGGCAAAAAGACAAACAAACAAAAAAACAGUAUAAAAGAUCUUCAAAAAUUAAAAAUAGAACUGCCAUGUGCAGCAAUUCCACUUCUGGGGAAUGAAAACGUUGACUUGAAACGAUAUCUCAUCCUUACAUUCAUAGCAGCAUUAUUUACAGUAG